rnacentral:lncRNA from 1 species
UCUGGUUGAUCCAUACCACACAAGAGUGCACAGAUGAUUCUACCAUCUGAGACUGAAUCAAAGUUUUACUUUGCAGCUUCAACCAGAGAAAAUACACAUGAUCAACAAACAGGGAAACACAACAUAUGUACAUAAUGGUUAUCGGUCAUCAACUUCAGACAUCUUAUCAAUAUUUCAAGAUUUACCAGCUGUAAGAUCAAUACCUGCAAUUUGGUUCUGCAAAUGAAAUGUAUAUGCAACGUAUGGAGUGUGAACAGAUUUCUGUCAAGUUUGUCACAGGCCUGUAAAGCCCUGUAAAUACAAGUAUCAUAUGAAGAACUUUUGCAAAUUUGAAUAAGAUCAACAUUUAUUUUUUAAGCAUAAAAUUCAGUUUCUGUACACAUGUUCAUUCAGUAAACCCCAUUAAGCAAAAGCAUAAAGGCAUUGAAAGAUAACUUCUGUACUAUACCUGAUCCAGCCUAUUCCAUCAUCUAUAAUGAAAUCAUCAUUGAUUACCUUUUUAACUCUAUCAAACCCCAGUCCAAUCAUUGUAUCUACACCAAAAAGAUGUCAAAAAGGGGCCAAAAAGAAUUUAAGAGACCAAAGGAGCAGGAAAAUUCUGUUUUAGAGGAGCAGAACCUGAUUCAUUUACAACAAGAAUUUAAGAUUAAUUAUAUCAUCAACUCUCCAAACAGUUUUUUCAUCUUCAGGAUUUGAAGCUUGGCUUACUGCUUCAAUGUUACCGGAACUACACCCUGUGAAUAUAUAACUAAUAUCUGUAGCGGCAUCCAAUAUCCUCUGACCUAUUUCCUGCAACCAAGAUUCAAUUCUAAAAGUUCAGUAAAAAAUGGACACCAAUAGAAAGGUCAAUGACAACUUGACAGAAGCAUGUGAAAACAGAAAAUCACUUGCCUAUUGUAACCAAACAUAUUUUUAUAUUAUGAAAUCAAACUCAAUUCAAAGAGAGAAAAUACUUGGGUAAUUGGAUACUCUUAAUGCAUAUAAAACUCACAUGCUUCGACACUAAAUUGCUCAUAGAAAUUGAAAAGAAAACCAGAAAGUCAAAUGCAUGCAGCAACAAGGUCUUUGGAAAAGUAGAAAACUAUUAUACUUAUCUAUGUUCAAUAAAUUUAAACAUGCUUAUCAGUAGCACAUACUUAACCACCCAUAAGAUCAAAAUACCCGCACUUUGGAAUUCUGAAAAUGGAAGCGCAUGACCUGUAGAAAAAAAAAAAAGCGAUCUCGUCGAAGCUUGUCGCUGCCCUGGAAAAUACAACAAAUCCACAGUAUCAGAAGAUGCUCUGUAUCUGUUUCUAAUAAGAAAAACCUGCACACAAAUGUUUGACAACAAGCCAUAUCUCAAAAACUUGCCAACUUAAAUAAGAAAUCUCUUCAAAAGAACAACUUCAUAUGUAUACAAAGCUCAUGAAAACCAUACCUUAGAGAGAAAACUAAGCGCUUCCUUUCUUGAAUGAUGAUCUAGUGCCCAUCAAGAAGAACAUACAUUCCAUCCCCAUUGUAUAAUCAACAAGUUAGAUUUCACCAUGUCAGAAUGCUCAUUGGCCCUCUU